rnacentral:lncRNA from 1 species
CCUCCUCCGGCCGGAUCCGGAACGGCCACGCCGAGGAAGCGGUGGCUGCCGUGCUUGCUCGAUUGGAGCUGACAAGGAAGGAGUUGUGGAGGGGGUAGAGGAGAGGAGAUGAAUGAGGGUAAAAAAGUCUUUUGGCAAUCAAAGUGCUAAAGUUUAGCCUCCUAUCCAAACACCCCACAGUGCUAAAAUUUAGCACUCUAUUUGAGAGGGCUAAAUUUUAGCCCAGGGCUAAACUUUAGCCCCUUCCUCC